rnacentral:misc_RNA from 1 species
GAAAGACAGCUAGAACGCCUUAGAUCUGAUCUACUUGAGAAUGGGUAUCUGCCGAAGUGGAGAAGAUUUCCUUAGGCCGAGUAGAACCAAUGAUUUCACACUCGUAACCAUCGAAAAGGGAAGCCGAAGAGCUCCAAUCCCUUGAUUUCGUAGCCAUUGCCGGGGAAGACAGUAGGUCGGGAGGAAGGUAACCAGAGGUUGUGGUAAAUCAGUGUGGGAAAGCCCCUCGUUUGAGUAUGCGCCAUCCCCUUCACUUCCAGAAAGCCGUUGAGCAUAUGUGUCGCCUGAGACUUUGGUAGAACAUCCGGCUGCAGAAGGCAUCUGGUUUGAAGACUUGUUCCGAAACCUGUAAUCAUCAGAAUAUGCAAUUACCCGAUCAGAACAAAACUGGAUCUGGAAGGAAUGUCAUUAAGUGAAGGAGUCCUCGUAAGCGCAUAGGCAAAAGGGCUUGGUGCUCGUUGUUCCCCAUUUACACAUGGGCGAGACGAAGAAACCUCCAUAUAGUUGAGCAGCGAGAACUGCACUUGCCACUUGCAUUAGUAGAGGCUAUUAAAAAUACUGUCCACACUCUUGUCUGCGAAGCGAAGCAAGGUAGUUAUUCCAGUUUCUCCUCUAAUAAUGGCAUCGGCGGAAAGUUUCCUACGGCGAGCUCGAGCAGAAGGCGCAGCCGAAGGCCAAUAAAGCCCUACUUCUAUACAAUUCCGGCAAGGUAAUCCAAUUGGAAAACCCUGACUGAACGAUGUUAUGUCGACUUAAUCCGUGGUUGAAUAUGUUAUGUCGGCUUAGCCAAAAGUUGAAGAUUUCGAUGGUCUAGCCCGAAAUGGGAGUGAGAAGUCUCUAAAAAGGCGAGCUGGGCUCAGGGAGCCGCUCUAGGGAAGAAGGAUCCCGGGAUUAAACCUGUUGUGAUGAAUUAGUCCUCCUACUCAAAGUGGUCAUCAACCACUUUCCGUCUUGGAUCUGAGUCAACGGCAUUAGCAUUUUUUUUUUUUUUUUUUUUU